GUGCAAAUGAUGAUAAAGUAACAGUAUGAAAAAUAAUGAUACUGUAAACGCUUUCUGAUGCA
rfam:Xenopus laevis strain J chromosome 1L, whole genome shotgun sequence.